rnacentral:rRNA from 1 species
UACGUAGGGGGCGAGCGUUGUCCGGAAUUAUUGGGCGUAAAGAGCUCGUAGGCGGUGUGUCGCGUCGGCCGUGAAAACCUGCAGCUUAACUGUGGCUUGCGGUCGAUACGGGCAUCACUGGAGUUCGGCAGGGGAGACUGGAAUUCCUGGUGUAGCGGUGAAAUGCGCAGAUAUCAGGAGGAACACCGGUGGCGAAGGCGGGUCUCUGGGCCGAUACUGACGCUGAGGAGCGAAAGCGUGGGGAGCGAACAGG